rnacentral:misc_RNA from 1 species
GAUGAAGAACGUAGCAAAAUGCGAUAAGUAAUGUGAAUUGCAGAAUUCAGUGAAUCAUCGAAUCUUUGAACGCACAUUGCGCCCGCCAGUAUUCUGGCGGGCAUGCCUGUUCGAGCGUCAUUUCAACCCUCAAGCACAGCUUGGUGUUGGGACUCGCGUUAAUUCGCGUUCCUCAAAUUGAUUGGCGGUCACGUCGAGCUUCCAUAGCGUAGUAGUAAAACCCUCGUUACAGGUAAUCGUCGCGGCCACGCCGUUAAACCCCAACUUCUGAAUGUUGACCUCGGAUCAGGUAGGAAUACCCGCUGAACUUAAGCAUAUCAAUAAGCGGAGGA